rnacentral:rRNA from 1 species
CUAGUGGCGGACGGGUGAGGAACACGUAAGAACCUACCCCUAGGAGGGGGACAACAACUGGAAACGGUUGCUAAUACCCCAUAUGCUGAGGAGCGAAACGGUGAAAACCGCCUAGGGACGGGCUUGCGUCUGAUUAGCUUGUUGGUGAGGUAAAUGCUUACCAAGGCAAUGAUCAGUAGCUGGUCUGAGAGGAUGAUCAGCCACACUGGGACUGAGACACGGCCCAGACUCCUACGGGAGGCAGCAGUGAGGAAUUUUCCGCAAUGGGCGAAAGCCUGACGGAGCAAUGCCGCGUGGAGGAUGAAAGCCUGUGGGUCGUAAACUCCUUUUCUCAGAGAAGAAGAUCUGACGGUAUCUGAGGAAUAAGCAUCGGCUAACUCCGUGCCAGCAGCCGCGGUAAUACGGAGGAUGCAAGCGUUAUCCGGAAUGAUUGGGCGUAAAGCGUCUGUAGGUGGUUUCAUAAGUCCACUGUCAAAGAUCAGGGCUUAACCCUGGGCAGGCAGUGGAAACUAUGAGGCUUGAGUACGGUAGGGGCAGAGGGAAUUCCCGGUGUAGCGGUGAAAUGCGUAGAGAUCGGGAAGAACACCAAUGGCGAAAGCACUCUGCUGGGCCGAAACUGACACUGAGAGACGAAAGCUAGGGGAGCAAAUGGGAUUAGAUACCCCAGUAGUCCUAGCCGUAAACGAUGGAUACUAAGUGCUGUCCGAUUCAAACCGUCCAGUACUGUAGCUAACGCGUGAAGUAUCCCGCCUGGGGAGUAUGCUCCGCAAGAGUGAAACUUCAAAGGAAUUGACGGGGGCCCGCACAAGCGGUGGAGCAUGUGG